rnacentral:rRNA from 1 species
UACCGGCACCCCGAGUGGUCGGGACGAUUAUUGGGCCUAAAGCAUCCGUAGCCGGUUCUACAAGUCUUCCGUUAAAUCCACCUGCUUAACAGAUGGGCUGCGGAGGAUACUAUAGAGCUAGGAGGCGGGAGAGGCAAGCGGUACUUAGUGGGUAGGGGUAAAAUCCGUUGAUCCAUUGAAGACCACCAGUGGCGAAGGCGGCUUGCCAGAACGCACUCGACGGUGAGGGAUGAAAGCGUGGGGAGCAAACAGG